GCAGGAUUCUAAACCAAUGAACCAUCCAGGAGCCAUGCCCAUGAUGCACAUUCUGUGACAAGAGAUGAGGAAUGUUCAGGAACUUGACAACAGUUGAACACCCAGGUGAAGCAGUGUCAGAUUUAAACCGUUAUCUGCUAACAGCUUGAAAUGUGUACAUGUUGCAGAUCCCAACUCCUGGAACAGACGAAGGACCAUCUGGUUGGAAGAUAGCACUGCUUUGUAGGAAUGGCCCUUGAGUAGCCAGUUGUUGAGAUAUG